rnacentral:misc_RNA from 1 species
CCGAUUCUUCCCGGGCCCUUGGAUGGCCCGGGGCGGUUGGGUCAUCGUCUGGGGGGAGGUUCUCCCUAGACGGGCCCUAAAGGCAAUGACGGUGCCGCGGUUCGGCCCUGGAGCGCAAUCGGGUUUUGGCUCCAGAAGGGCCGGAUCGGGCCACCUGUCUCUCCCCUGGCGUUCUCAAGACGCCUCGCUGUCCGUCC